rnacentral:rRNA from 3 species
GGGUUGUGAGGUUAAGCGACUAAGCGUACACGGUGGAUGCCCUGGCAGUCAGAGGCGAUGAAGGGCGUGCUAAUCUGCGAUAAGCGCCGGUAAGGUGAUAUGAACCGUUAUAACCGGCGAUACCCGAAUGGGGAAACCCAGUGUGAUUCGUCACACUAUCAUUAACUGAAUCCAUAGGUUAAUGAGGCGAACCGGGGGAACUGAAACAUCUAAGUACCCCGAGGAAAAGAAAUCAACCGAGAUUCCCCCAGUAGCGGCGAGCGAACGGGGAGGAGCCCAGAGCCUGAAUCAGCAUGUGUGUUAGUGGAAGCGUCUGGAAAGGCGCGCGAUACAGGGUGACAGCCCCGUACACAAAAGCGCAUGUGCUGUGAGCUCGAUGAGUAGGGCGGGACACGUGGUAUCCUGUCUGAAUAUGGGGGGACCAUCCUCCAAGGCUAAAUACUCCUGACUGACCGAUAGUGAACCAGUACCGUGAGGGAAAGGCGAAAAGAACCCCGGCGAGGGGAGUGAAAAAGAACCUGAAACCGUGUACGUACAAGCAGUG